GCGAGCCGGAUGAGUCGAAAGGUUCAAGUCCGGUUCUGAGGGAGACUGAGAGAAAAGGAGCAAGCAAUUGAAACCUCGCUCCCAGUCUACCCUAC
rfam:Ktedonobacter racemifer DSM 44963 strain SOSP1-21 Krac_Contig205, whole genome shotgun sequence.